CCAUGCCUUCAUUUCAGCAUGGUGUUGCGGAGAAUCCCAGAGAUCUGAAUCCCAGGAGAAGUCAGCCCAUCCUGCUGUUCUUGGGAAUCUAUAAAGGAGGUGCACAAAGCUCCAGUUGCCCCUGAUUUGAGAGAUGUCUCCAGAGCAGCACUUGUUCCUGGAAAAGUUUGAUAGCCUGUGCCCAAGACGCUCUCCAACUUAUUCACUUGGAAGGACUCCAGCUCUCCAUUUAUUCUUUACUGGCCCUGAGCAGUAGAGUAGGCUAAACAAAAACCCACACUUAAGCUGAAGAUGCUCAACUUUAACACAUGACUGCUACUUUCAAUUUCUUGCUCUAUCGCCAGGCUGGACUGAAGUGGCUCACUGCAACUUCCACCUCCCGGGUUCAAGCCACUGCCUCAGCCUCCCAAGUAGCUGGGACUACAGGUGCUGCAGAUGCUGCGGGUCCAGGGACCACACUUUGAGAACCACUAGUCUGGUGCAAGAUUCUUGGCAACAGACAAUAUCUUAUACAAGGGUGGUAAGCUGUGCAGGUGAAGGGAAGUAAACAGAUUUGUUAUACAUUUUGAGGGUAAAGCUAAUAGAAUUUACUUAGCAAUGUGAUGUGAGAAUAGUGAAAAAAAAAAAAAAAAAGAAAGAAAUGGAUAGCUCCCUAAAUUGGACUUGAUUGAAAGGGGAAUGGCAGUGCCAAUCACUGAUAUGGGGAAGAUGGCAGGGGGAUGGUAUACGUUGGGAAGUUAAAUCAAGAAUUUGGUGUUUGUUGUUGUUGCUUGUUUAUUUAAUUUUGGUUUUAAGUUAGAUGAGUAGAGAUAACAAGCAGAGGGUGGGUUUUAUAUGUCUGCAACUCAGGUGAGACACUGGAGCCAAAGAUACAAAUGUGUAAGUCAUCAGCAUACAAAUGAGACUGAAUGAGGACAUAGGAAAAAUAAAGCAGAGCAGAAAAAUGCACUCCAAUGCAAGCUCUCCAGCUCUCCACUGUUUUUAGAGUUUGACAGAAGAGUGCAAAGGAAGCUGAGAAAGAGCAUCCAGCAGAGCAGGAGGGACACAAGAUUGUGGGGUCAGACAAUGCAAGCAGGGAGGAAAGUGAGCCCAGGGAGGAAGUGCGCGAUGCCAGAUGCUGCUGCAAAUCGAGGAAGUCGAGAGUUGAGAAAUGUCCAUGGUAUAUGGCAAUACGAGGGGCAUUGGUCACCCUGACAAGGGUAGUUUCAAUGACCAGAAGUGUCAGAAGCAUGACCAGGAGUGUCAGAAGCUUGAUUGUAGCAAAUUGAGAAGUGAAAGGAACAGGAGAAAGCAGCUGCAGGGAACGUAGGCCAUUGUCAGAAAAGUGUGGUUUUGGACAGAGAGAAAAACAAGGCCGUGUAGCUGGAGGAGAUAUGGGCCCUUCUAGGGGAGGGGCUUGUUUGGUGGUGCUUUGAACUUCAGGGAAUCCACAUCUGGAUUACACAAUGCUAGGCAUGACCACGUCUCUGCUGCAUGGGACGCUAGGGGUCAUGGAAACCACCAAGGCCUCAGGCAGUGGGAGAAGUUACCUGGGGGAGGAGCAGGAGUAGGAGCUGCAGCAGGAGCAGGAGCCCGCCAAGUGUGGCAGCACAGCCUUUCCUGCUUUCCUCAGGGAUAUAGGCUUGUUCCUCCUGCCCUACCAUGAUGUCACUGAAUAUAACAGAAUAUUAGCUAAUUGCCAUUGCCAUUGUCAAACUGCAAAGUCAAAGGAAUAAAUGGAUUGGUCAGGAGGUAGAAGAAAAGAGACAAUAGACUAGAGAGGAGAUAAAGCCAAUUAAACUUGU